GCCUGCGGCGCGCGCGCCACAACGCGGGACGGGCCUUGGAAGAGCCUCCGCGCGCGCUCCCGCUAAUUCGCGGCCACACCCCUGUCUACUUCCAUGUCCAAUAGGUGUGAGAGGGCGGGGCAGCCUCGUUCUGACUGGGGAGGCUAUAUAAGGAGCUACUGGCUGCGCGUCUCGGUCUUUUACGUAGGCCUUCGUGAUCGCUUGGUCGUGUGGUAGGUAAGCGUUGGUGUUGCGGGCGAGUACUGGAGCAAAAGGUGGAGGUGCAGGCCGAGUUAAGAGUUUUGAUAGUGUGAAACCAUCUUAGUGUAGAGCUUAGAGUGCUGAGAGUUGAAAGCUUGCACGUGGGAAAUGUGCAGCCCGACCGCCACAUGUACUGAGAUCGAGUCGUGACGGCCACAGGCUCCGAGUUUUGGCGUGAGGAGAACGCUGAUCGGCCACGGGUGCCGCGCUUGCUGGCCUCUGGCAUGUGCCUGAACGGCGGCGGAAAAACCACACUUAAUUGGGGCAGAGGGUUAGUUUUAAGAGCAAGAGGCCUUUACUAAAAUGGCGAAGACCUUCCGUCGGCGUUGUUUUAAAACGGGCAGCCUCAACCCUGCAUUGAGACUGAGCUGUUCGAAGGCGGCGUUGUGUGCAAUUCGGAUUAAUGAAGGGGAAAGGUUUUGUGUGGAAAAACACCUUGGAGUGUGACGUUUCUGCGAGAAUACUUAAAUAUCGGUUUCCCGCAGGAACAAUGGCGCUGUCGUGGCCCAGCAGAGCAGCUCUGAAUAUGCAAAGUGAGGGUCGCUGUCUGCCCAUUGAUAAGAGGCCAGAUUGUCUUGGAAGUUCCAAAGUUGCAACGAUUUCUGUAAGUGGAGUUUUUCUGUUUGCUUAG
rnacentral:lncRNA from 10 species